rnacentral:piRNA from 1 species
UCUGAAAUUGAGUGCAGCUGAGAGUC